rnacentral:misc_RNA from 1 species
AAGUCGUAACAAGGUUUCCGUAGGUGAACCUGCGGAAGGAUCAUUAAUAAUUAUAUUGAUUUUUUUUGUGCUCUUUUUUUUUUUUUAUUAAGGAAAAGUCACAUUUAAAAUUUUAUAUUAUAAACACUUUGUGAAUCUAAAACAUUGUAUAAUCAUGGCAGUUCGAAAAGUUUUUUUUUUUUUAAAUGCUGAGUAAAGACUGCCAACCAAAUAUUACGUAAAUUUAUUUAAAAUUUUUAAUCAAUUUUAUUGUUGAUUACAUAAUUAAAACAACUUUUGACAACGGAUCUCUUGGCUCUC